rnacentral:sRNA from 1 species
CUUCUUCGAUUUGUUGGGGGCAAAUAAAAUGGAUAUGCGCGUCUAUACCACCUGCCGUCAAUAUUUGGCCUUCGCCAGCAAUAAUUUCCGUACCAGGGCCGAUGACAAUAUCCACGCCCUGUUGGGUAUCCGGGUUGCCUGCCUUACCGAUCCCCGCAAUACGCCCGUUCUUGAUACCGAGGUCUGCCUUGAUAAUGCCCCAGUAAUCAACGAUGAGUGCAUUGGUGAUGACCAGGUCGACUGCCGUGAGCGAAUCAAGCUGACUUUGCCCCAUACCGUCACG